AGGUAGUGUUUGUGCAAGAAGGGCACAAGGAGAAGGAGAAGGAAAAGGAAGGUGUUGGGAGUGGCAAGGUCAUUAGGGACAAGGACACUCUCAAGAAUUUUGCCGGCAAGAACAAUCCAUCUUAUGUUCUCAUGAGAGGAAAUGAUGGCUAUACCUUUGCAAAAUUUGUUGGGACUAACUAUAAUGAUUAUGCUUGGACUAUUUGGGUUCUCAAGACCCUUGUUGCUAACUCAUGAGGACCCAUUGCAAAAUCUUUACCUAAUAAUAAAGGGUCUGUUGCGUCUGCCCGUUCACCCAUCGCAGUCGUUUUGCAAAUGGGCCCUCCUGUUUUUCAGAAAUUUCACCCGCAGUCCCUCUUUAAGUGAUAUCUGGGAAAUCGUUUCGAUUUUACAAAUUGACCCCUAAAUUUAUUAGAAUUCAACCCGAGCUCCUAUCCUCUACCUUAUCCAGACGCUCCUUCUCGCACGCCCUCCCCGCCGUUCCUCCCGCCGCCUGGCCUUCGCCGGCCCUCCGCCACGCAGUGGUGCGCCCGAGCUUGGGAGCGCUGCCGCUGCGUCCGCGCUGGUCCUGGAUCCUAGACGGUGGGCCUCCCUGACCUUUGAUCCCCUUGCUUCAACGGUGGCGGCACCCGUCCUUAACAUUGACAGCCCGAUUCCGGCCAACUCCGGCGCCUUCCCAGAUCUGCCACUCACGGGAACGGAUCACUUCGCCGCCCCCUACUGAUUCGCCCUGCAGCCGGCCUUCCCCGCCACCCCGGCGAGCCCCUUGGCCACCGAGAAGACGAGUUGUGCCGCCCGUGAGCACCUCUCCUGAUUCCUCUCUUCCCUCUCCCGCAUCGGCCGCGCGAGUUGGAGCACGCCGCCCUGCCGCGUGCCGUCGGCCAUAGAUGCGGCCUAGAACUACUGCCGCCCCUGCCCUGCCGUGCGCCGACGGCCAUGGACCGGCUGCGCGAGUAGGAGCACGUCACGGCGGCCGCGCAUGAAUGCGGCCGAGAACUGCUGCCGCCCCUGAACUGCAGCCGCACCUGCCAUGCGCCCCUGCCCUGGGCAUGAUGCUGCUGCCGCUCGGUGCUGCCGCUGGGGCGUGCUGCUGCUCGCCUCUCCGGUCCGCCGGUGCCUCCCGCCCGGGCGGUGUCCCGGGCUGACAGGGACGCGCUGCGUGCGUCCGAGCUGCUGCUCGCGUCGCGUCGCGACCGCUGCUGGAACCGAGGGAGCAGCCGGCUGCGCGCGUCUGGGGGAGCGCCUGAGCAGCUCGCGUUCGAGCUGACGGCUGCGUGCACGCCCAAGGGAGCUACCCAGUGCAGCGGCAUCAGCUACCCAAUGAAUGCCCACAACUUUUGUUUAUUAGUUUUUUGUCUAUUGCUGGUUGGUGUAAUCUGCAAGAAAGUGACAUAAUAGUCUAUUUAUCAAGUCCAAAGUCCAACAUUCUUUCAAUCCAGAAGAAAGUUAACAAAAGCAUUUCAGCUUGGAACUCUGGAAGUUGGUGCUGCCGAUAUGGCUGCUUAUCAAGCUGGAUACAGAGAGCUUCCAUUUAAUGAUAGAAAAUUUCCUUUGACCAUCAGGGAGCAAAAUUUCACAAAGAAAUAUAUGAAAGUCUGAUGUCCCCUUUUGAACAAAAGGUUGAUCAGAAGCGAACCAUGUUGGAUCCAAACAAUUUCAUUGUUCAGGAUACGCUAAAGGACCUUCGAGCUAAAUGGAUUGAUGCAGAAGACAUUCCAACUGCCAGUGAACAGCUUGCGCAGAAGAAUAAGAAAUAGAAACCUUCACCUAGGGACACUGCCGGUUCAAGAUGAGCAUGAAGCUGAUACCAAACUACUGUCUCAAGAUACUCCCUCUGUUGACAGUCCGAAUGUUGUUAAUCCUUGACAAGCUGACAAGAUAGGUAGCACAAUUUCUCCGACGUAAUCAAGCGCAACAACGGCAUGAACAGAAGGAUGAGUUUGUCCUGAACUUAUUAUAUACCAUUGAUUUAUCAUCAUAUUUUUCAUGUUGAUUGGGUUAUCAAAGUACUUCUAUUUUCUCAUUCCAAUUUGUCACUGGCAGAUUCUAUAGGCUUAACAAGGAUUAUUGUGUUUCAGCUUUUAUAGAUUAUAUACACUGUAGAGGUUAUCCCAUAUGAUUUACACGGAUUUAUAGAACAUCAGUCUAAUUUAGAGGCUAUGUGUAGUGCAAAGGAAACUUAAUCUGCGCCAUUGCCCUGUUCUUUUAUAUAUGUGUCUGAACUCUGGACUGAAGCAACCUAUGUUGACAAGUAAUCGGCACAACAAUAGAUGGACCCGUGUCCGCAGCCCCAUGGACGAUAUUGCUCUCUCCAACGAAGACCGGCAAAGGUGCGUUUAACAUCGAGUACCUUAAUUUAGGUCAUGAUCUGAGAGUACACUGGCUGAUGCACCCUUACAGAAAUCUGGAUGCUCUUGCACUUUUGGUUUUAUUAGCAAAUUGUUCAUGAAAAUAUGGACGUUGUAUAUGUAAAGAUACACUUUUUACUUGACAAGCGAAAUGAAAUAUGAGGUUCAGACUAAAUUUAUGAUGCCAUUUUCCCAUGAUGCCCUGCAUUUUGAUGAUGAGAAUGUCGGUCAUACUAAUACGUGGAGCAAAGCAAGUUACCUUUUAAUGUUUUAGUGUAUUUCCCUAUGAUUAGAACAUGCUCGUUCAUGACUAUAUUUCUUGGUUCAGUGUUUCAAAAGCUAACCUCAGUGAGUAUUCAGAAAAUAUUGAAGCACUAGCUGCCAUACUCACUACUCCAGUGGUACGUUUUUAUGCAGUCGAUUCAUAUUUGUAUUGAUAUGCUGAAUUCGUCCACCAGAACCUAAAUACGACUAUGCCAUAUUUAUCCCCAGACUCAUUAUUUGAACUGAUCUCUCAUACCAGUACAUGUCAACAUUACUUAGUUGUGUAGCUUCUAGAUACAUUUCCAUUACUAUCUUUUGUAGGAAGCCAGAAAAUGAACAUCCGCGUUCAUGCGAUCAUUGAAGAAAGCAAGCUGCUCAUCUUGACAAGUAAUCAACACGACAAUAGCUAUAACCAUGGCAGUGUCCCCAGCUAGAAUAUCGCUCUCUCCAAUGCCCAUAAUGGCGAAGGACUAUGUCUCCGGUGGAACUCAAUGGGUGAUCGAUAGUGGAUGCACCAAUCAUAUGACCGGAGAAAGGGAGAUGCUUGUGGAGUUCGUUGAUUCACUCAAGGCCUCUUCGAACAUCUCUUUUGGUGACAAUAGCAAGGGCAAGCACUACAAAAAAAGACACAUCCGUGACAUUUUGGGCCGAACGAUUUUUUUUUCUGUCAUACAUAUGACACUUCUAUGACGAUAAUUGUGACAAAACCCGGUAUCAUCAUAGAUGUGGU